rnacentral:rRNA from 1 species
AGUGAACGCUGGCGGUAGGCCUAACACAUGCAAGUCGAACGGCAGCACAGUAAGAGCUUGCUCUUACGGGUGGCGAGUGGCGGACGGGUGAGGAAUACAUCGGAAUCUACUUUUUCGUGGGGGAUAACGUAGGGAAACUUACGCUAAUACCGCAUACGACCUACGGGUGAAAGCAGGGGAUCUUCGGACCUUGCGCGAUUGAAUGAGCCGAUGUCGGAUUAGCUAGUUGGCGGGGUAAAGGCCCACCAAGGCGACGAUCCGUAGCUGGUCUGAGAGGAUGAUCAGCCACACUGGAACUGAGCCACGGUCCAGACUACUACGGGAGGCAGCAGUGGGGAAUAUUGGACAAUGGGCGCAAGCCUGAUCCAGCCAUACCGCGUGGGUGAAGAAGGCCUUCGGGUUGUAAAGCCCUUUUGUUGGGAAAGAAAAGCAGCAGGUUAAUACCCCGCUGUUCUGACGGUACCCAAAGAAUAAGCACCGGCUAACUUCGUG